AGAGUUUGAUCCUGGCUCAGGACGAACGCUGGCGGCGUGCUUAACGCAUGCAAGUCGAACGGUCCUGUUUUUGAAGCGUUUCGGCGUGGAGGGAGCGGGGCAGUGGCGCACGGGUGAGUAAAGCGCGAGGACCUGCCCGCCGGAGGGGGACAGCAGUUGGAAACGGCUGGUGAUACCCCGUAAGCCGGGAGGUGAAAGGGCGGCGACGCCCGCCUGCGGAUGGACUCGCGUCCUAUCAGCUAGUUGGUGAGGCAACGGCUCACCAAGGCGACGACGGGUAGCCGGCCUGAGAGGGUGUCCGGCCACACUGGAACUGAGACACGGUCCAGACUCCUACGGGAGGCAGCAGUGGGGAAUUUUGGGCAAUGGGGGAGACCCUGACCCAGCGACGCCGCGUGAGGGAUGAAGGCCCUUGGGUCGUAAACCUCUUUUGCAGGGGAAGAAGCAGAUGACGGUACCUUGCGAAUAAGUCCCGGCUAACUACGUGCCAGCAGCCGCGGUAACACGUAGGGGACGAGCGUUGUCCGGAAUUACUGGGCGUAGAGGGCGCGCAGGCUGUGCGUCGAGUCGGCUGUUGAAAGGCGGGGCUCAACCCCGCGAAGCGGUCGAGACCGGCGUGCUGGAGAGCUGCAGAGGCAGGCGGAAUUCCCGGUGUAGCGGUGAAAUGCGUAGAUAUCGGGAAGAACACCGGUGGCGAAGGCGGCCUGCUGGGCAGUUACUGACGCUGAGGCGCGAGAGCCAGGGUAGCGAACGGGAUUAGAUACCCCGGUAGUCCUGGGCCGUAAACGAUGGAUGCCAGGUGUGCGUGCAGAGAUGCAUACGUGCCGCAGUCAACGCGAUAAGCAUCCCGCCUGGGGGAGUACGGUCGCAAGAUUGAAACUCAAAGGAAUUGACGG
rnacentral:rRNA from 1 species